CUGUUUUAUUGAUUAUGGGUUGAAUGACUGAGAAACCGAUGUUGUAUGUUGUCUUGUUUGGCAUAAAUUACUGUUUUGCUUGUUUGUGUGUGAAUUAAUGAUGCUAACUGAGGAAAAGGGGAAUGAAAGGUUAUGUAAAUUGAUAAUUGUAUAAUGUGAUCAGUCUGACUAGUUAUCCUGGGAGAUGGUGGACGGACCGGGUCCGUAGGGAACCCUACCGGGAUUG
rnacentral:lncRNA from 1 species